CCUACGGGUGGCAGCAGUGGGGGAUAUUGCACAAUGGGGGGAACCCUGAUGCAGCGACGCCGCGUGGGUGAAGAAGCGCCUCGGCGCGUAAAGCCCUGUCAGCAGGGAAGAAAAUGACGGUACCUGAAGAAGAAGCCCCGGCUAACUAGGGGCCAGCAGCCGCGGUAAUACGUAGGGGGCAAGCGUUAUACGGAUUUACUGGGUGUAAAGGGGGCGCAGACGGCGAUGCAAGCCAGGAGUGAAAGCCCGGGGCCCCACCCCGGGACUGCUCUUGGAAAUGGGUGGUUGGAGGGGAGGAGGGGCAGGGGGAAUGCCUGGUGUAGCGGGGAAAUGCGUAGAAAUCAGGAGGAACACCGGUGGGGAAGGAGGCCUGCUGGACUGCAACUGAGGUGGAGGCCCGAAAGCGUGGGGAGCAAACAGGAUUAGAUACCCGGGUAGUC
rnacentral:rRNA from 1 species